CAGAAUGUAGCAGAGGAUAUUUUAAAUGUGUUUUUACCAUUAUCUCAAGUUAAGUUUUUGUUUCUUUCAUACUUCAAAGAGAAAAUUAUUUUGUGAGAGAACUAAUAUUUUGUGAAAUAUCAUGUGUGAAUUUCAUUACGAGUAAUUUUGUGAACUAUUACUAGAUGAAGAGGUAGAGCAAGGAGACGGCCCCAUGCACAAUCAAAUAUCUAGACAAGUUCGGAAGUUCUCGAGAGCAAAUAUUCAUCAUUUCUUCAUACAAAAUGAGAAUAUCUACUACAAAAAAACAAAAAAGAGAU
rnacentral:lncRNA from 1 species